CACGGGGGGAGCAAGCGUUGUUCGGAAUUACUGGGCGUAAAGGGCUCGUAGGUGGCCAACUAAGUCAGACGUGAAAUCCCUCGGCUUAACCGAGGAACUGCGUCUGAUACUGGAUGGCUUGAGUUUGGGAGAGGGAUGCGGAAUUCCAGGUGUAGCGGUGAAAUGCGUAGAUAUCUGGAGGAACACCGGUGGCGAAGGCGGCAUCCUGGACCAAUACUGACGCUGAACAGCGAAAGCCAGGGGAGCAAACGGG
rnacentral:rRNA from 1 species